GAUGAACGCUGGCGGCGUGCCUAAUACAUGCAAGUCGAGCGAACAGAUAAGGAGCUUGCUCCUUUGACGUUAGCGGCGGACGGGUGAGUAACACGUGGGUAACCUACCUAUAAGACUGGAAUAACUCCGGGAAACCGGGGCUAAUGCCGGAUAACAUUUAGAACCGCAUGGUUCUAAAGUGAAAGAUGGUUUUGCUAUCACUUAUAGAUGGACCCGCGCCGUAUUAGCUAGUUGGUAAGGUAACGGCUUACCAAGGCAACGAUACGUAGCCGACCUGAGAGGGUGAUCGGCCACACUGGAACUGAGACACGGUCCAGACUCCUACGGGAGGCAGCAGUAGGGAAUCUUCCGCAAUGGGCGAAAGCCUGACGGAGCAACGCCGCGUGAGUGAUGAAGGUCUUCGGAUCGUAGAACUCUGUUAUUAGGGAAGAACAAAUGUGUAAGUAACUGUGCACGUCUUGACGGUACCUAAUCAGGAAGCCACGGCUAACUACGUG
rnacentral:rRNA from 1 species